rnacentral:rRNA from 1 species
UACGGAGGAUCCGAGCGUUAUCCGGAUUUAUUGGGUUUAAAGGGUGCGCAGGCGGAAGAUUAAGUCGGUGGUGAAAUUUUGCAGCUCAACUGUAAAAGUGCCAUUGAUACUGGUUUUCUUGAGUGUGGAUGAAGUAGGCGGAAUUUGUGGUGUAGCGGUGAAAUGCAUAGAUAUCACGAGGAACUCCGAUUGCGCAGGCAGCUUACUAAACUACUACUGACGCUCAGGCACGAAGGCGUGGGGAUCAAACAGGAUUAGAUACCCCGGUA